AUUGAACGCUGGCGGUAGGCCUAACACAUGCAAGUCGAACGGCAGCACAGUAAGAGCUUGCUCUUACGGGUGGCGAGUGGCGGACGGGUGAGGAAUACAUCGGAAGCUACUUGUUCGUGGGGGAUAACGUAGGGAAACUUACGCUAAUACCGCAUACGACCUACGGGUGAAAGCAGGGGAUCUUCGGACCUUGCGCGAUUGAAUGAGCCGAUGUCGGAUUAGCUAGUUGGCGGGGUAAAGGCCCACCAAGGCGACGAUCCGUAGCUGGUCUGAGAGGAUGAUCAGCCACACUGGAACUGAGACACGGUCCAGACUCCUACGGGAGGCAGCAGUGGGGAAUAUUGGACAAUGGGCGCAAGCCUGAUCCAGCCAUACCGCGUGGGUGAAGAAGGCCUUCGGGUUGUAAAGCCCUUUUGUUGGGAAAGAAAAGCAGCACGUUAAUACCCCGCUGUUCUGACGGUACCCAAAGAAUAAGCACCGGCUAACUUCGUG
rnacentral:rRNA from 1 species